GACGAACGCUGGCGGCGUGCUUAACACAUGCAAGUCGAACGGAAAGGCCCUGCGUUUGUGGGGUGCUCGAGUGGCGAACGGGUGAGUAACACGUGAGUAACCUGCCCUUGACUUUGGGAUAACUUCAGGAAACUGGGGCUAAUACCGGAUAGGAGCUCCUGCUGCAUGGUGGGGGUUGGAAAGUUUCGGCGGUGGGGGAUGGACUCGCGGGUUAUCAGCUUGUUGGUGGGGUAGUGGCUUACCAAGGCUUUGACGGGUAGCCGGCCUGAGAGGGUGACCGGCCACAUUGGGACUGAGAUAGGGCCCAGACUCCUACGGGAGGCAGCAGUGGGGAAUAUUGCACAAUGGGCGGAAGCCUGAUGCAGAAACGCUGCGUGCGGGAUGACGGCCUUCGGGUUGUAAACCGCUUUCGCCUGUGACGAAGCGUGAGUGACGGUAAUGGGUAAAGAAGCACCGGCUAACUACGUG
rnacentral:rRNA from 1 species